rnacentral:sRNA from 1 species
AUUGCCUGUUCAGAUGUCGGCGAGAUCGCCUGACCUGCAGGCAGGCUUCGCGCUCGGAACGCUGACCACGGAUGUACUGGCAGAUAGAGCAGCGAAGGGGAAAAGGUCGGGGCGCCCCGGCCUUUUUUGUU